rnacentral:rRNA from 1 species
UUUGAAUUUAUAAGAGGUCCAGCCUGCCCAGUGACUCUGUUCAACGGCCGCGGUAUCCUAACCGUGCGAAGGUAGCGUAAUCACUUGUUCUUUAAAUAAGGACUAGUAUGAAUGGCACCACGAAGGUUAUACUGUCUCCUUUCUCUAAUCAGUGAAACUAAUCUCCCCGUGAAGAAGCGGGAAUAGUCCUAUAAGACGAGAAGACCCUAUGGAGCUUUAAACGCAGUAACAAUUGCCCACCCAAAACUAUUCUCCGGAAAUCACAAAUUAUUUGGGCACCGUGAUUACAAGUUUUAGGUUGGGGUGACCGCGGAGCAAAAAACAACCUCCGCAGUGAACGGGAACCUCCCUAAUCUCAGGACUACACUCCUAAGAAUCAACAUAUUGACACCCAUUGACCCAAUAUUUGAUCAAUGAAC